GAUGAACGCUGGCGGCGUGCCUAAUACAUGCAAGUCGAGCGAACGGACGAGAAGCUUGCUUCUCUGAUGUUAGCGGCGGACGGGUGAGUAACACGUGGAUAACCUACCUAUAAGACUGGGAUAACUUCGGGAAACCGGAGCUAAUACCGGAUAAUAUUUUGAACCGCAUGGUUCAAAAGUGAAAGACGGUCUUGCUGUCACUUAUAGAUGGAUCCGCGCUGCAUUAGCUAGUUGGUAAGGUAACGGCUUACCAAGGCAACGAUGCAUAGCCGCCCUGAGAGGGUGAUCGGCCACACUGGAACUGAGACACGGUCCAGACUCCUACGGGAGGCAGCAGUAGGGAAUCUUCCGCAAUGGGCGAAAGCCUGACGGAGCAACGCCGCGUGAGUGAUGAAGGUCUUCGGAUCGUAAAACUCUGUUAUUAGGGAAGAACAUAUGUGUAAGUAACUGUGCACAUCUUGACGGUACCUAAUCAGAAAGCCACGGCUAACUACGUG
rnacentral:rRNA from 1 species